rnacentral:rRNA from 1 species
AUGGAGGCGUCAGACGACACCAGUUCCCUCCAGGCGGCGAUUCGAUGGCUGCUGCACACCAUCCUUCCGAGCCUCAGCAAGCUGGACGGGUGGAUCCGCCACGCAGGGCUCGGCAGCGAGGUGGAGAGGCUCAGGGAUGAGAUCGACCAAGUCGACGGCAACGUCUCCGCCGUGAACGCCAGGUCUGAUAUCCGAAACAGGUCGCUGGCCAGAUCCCUUUCAGCCCUCAAGGAGCUGCUCUACGACGCCGACGACGUGGUCGACGAGCUCGACUGCUACAGGAUCCAGCGCCAGCUCCACGCCCACGGAGGCCCAUGGCAUUGGCACCAUCCCAACCAAAUUGACGGACCAAGUAACCAGCUGCCAAGUUCUUCAAGGACCAGUGACUCCACUCAAAAUGCAACUGCUGAUAAUUCAUCCAGAAGAAAAAGGAGAAGGGGUGAUGAUUCAACAGACAUCACCGCAGCCAACACAGGCCCUUGGAGCAAGGACCAAAUUUCUGAAAGGAUACAAGACAUAACUGGUCAGCUGCGAGAUAUCCGAGGGAACGCGCGACGUGUUCUCAAUAUGCUUGGGCCAGGGUCUCGUGCAGGUCCAAAUCACUGCCAGAGUACAACCACCGCGGACCCACGCCGAGGGGCAUCAUCAAGUCUUGUUCAAGGGAAAGUGUAUGGGAGAGCUGAAGAGAAGAGUUACAUCAUAGAGUUGAUAAAAGCACGCAAAUCAGAUGCCGGGGUGACUGUUCUGCCAAUUGUAGGCAUUGCAGGGGUUGGGAAGACAACUCUGGCACAACUUGUAUACAAUGAUCAAGACUUGGAGAGUCAGUUUGACCUCCGCAUAUGGAUCUGGGUGUCUAGCAGCUUCGAUGAAACUAGAGUCACAAGAGAGAUGUUAGAUUUUGUGUCCCUGGGAGCGCAUGGAGGCAAAUGCAGGUUUCCCAAGCUUCCGGAAGUCUUGAAGGAUCAUGUUAAAUCAAAGAGGGUUCUGCUUAUUUUGGAUGAUAUUUGGGAUGACAUAAGUGAUUGCCAAUGGAACAAUCUAUUAGCACCGUUUAAGCCUAACAAUGCAAAGGGCAGCAUGAUACUCGUGACAACUAGAAUACCAUCUCUUGCCAAAAAACGAGGUACAACUGGACCGAUUAACUUAGAUGGUUUGAAAAAUGAUGAUUUCUGGCUAAUGUUUAAAGCGUGUGCAUUUGGUGAUGAGAACUAUGAAGAGCAAGUUAGUCUGGGUGAGCUUGGACAGCAGAUAGCAAAAAGGUUACAGGGAAACCCAUUAGCUGCAGAAACUGCAGGGACACUGUUAAGAGAGCAUCUUACCAUUGAUCAUUGGAGUAAUAUUCUGAAGAACCAAUAUUGGAAAUCUUACAACUCAGUAGUGGCAUCAUGUCUGCUUUGA